GCGUCCACCAUGAGCCCGUCCUCGGCUAUAAAAGCCGGCUGAGCUCCCCUCCCUCCACCACACCUCGCCACACCUCAACACUCCCCUGUCCCAGCUCACGGAAGCGCUGCGGCACGCUCCCUGCUGCCUCCCGCUCGGAGGAGCUCCAUCUCUGUCCGAGGUCCGCCUGUAGCCGCCGCCGACGUCAUUGGUCCGGGAAGUACGACGAAGAAGAAGCCAUCCGUGUCGUCGCCUGGAGGAGCAGCUGGACGUUCGGGAGGAGCUGCUGUACUGCCUCAACCCACCGACUCGCCGCCGUCACCUCUCCGUCGACCAGCGCCCUCUCCCGAUGCGAACAAUUCCGGAGAAGAAGAAGAAGAAGUGGAUUGGACAAGGAGUUUAUUUAUAUUGUUGGUAUUCUUAUUUGAUGGGGUUGAAGAAGUCCAGGGACAAAUAAGCUAACCAAGGCAAGCCAUCUUUUGAUCUCUUGCUAUUUAUCCUUCUUGUUGUGUUCAUUGCUCCAUUAUAUACUUGGUUCCUUGUAUCAUGUGUGAUGUUUGGUCCUCUACUCUAUGCAUACUUAUUCCCAAGUAUGUUGAACCCCUUGUUGAUGCUAUGCAUACUUACUCCCAAGUAUGUUGAACACCUUGUUGAUGUUACGCAUGCUUACCCUAAGCAUGUAUGCCCCCUUGACCACUUAUAUUGUCACCUUCUUAGUGGUAUGCUGAUUAACAUCAUGACCCUUGUUGAAUCAUCUUAUUUAUGAUGUCCCUAUGCAUGCUUAUCCUAAGUAUGUAUGAUCCCCUUUACACCUCAAUUAUCAUCUCCUUAGUGGUAUGAUGGCUAGCAUCAUGCCCUUGAUGUAUCUUAGUUCAUCCAUAAAACUAUAGGUUGGGAACCCCCUUGGAAAAAUACCUUGUUGAAAAGAAUUUUUGAAAACCUUGGGUGAGUUGGACUUACCCAAGCGUGUGUUUAUGAAAGGAAAGGAUCUUGGAAAAGAUGGUUGGAAAGAAAAUCUUGUUUUCAAAAACUUUGGCGUCUAAGUAUUCACCCAUGACAAUUAACCCGCGCAACCACAUUACCCUGGAGUGGGACAGGGCUUAGCUCGUAGUUUGUUCUUCUUAGCAUGGGACACCACACAACUAUACAAGGGUAAGGUUACCCCCGAGUCCGGGUUGUCGUAGGUGGAGACAAUAGUAUAACGGGAGGCCUUCGGGGCUGACCCGUCCGGAAGACACUAUGGGUCUCCUGGCUUGGCGGUGGAGCCAUGCUCAAAGUGAGGUGAGCUGCCACGGUGCCGGGGAGGUACAUACUCCAUAGGGUAGGAUCCCGUGCUAAGACGAAUAGGCGAAAGGCUAUGUCCGAGUUUUCGUCAUGGCAUAGUUGAUAUGCGGGGAUGAUGCCCACAUGAUGAACUCGCGGAUCUUGUGGGGAAAGUGUGCAAACUCUGCAGAGUCAAAUCUAUUCGAAUAGCCGUGUCCGCGGUCAUGGACGGUUGGAAUGGCUGUUGCUUAGCCUAAAGAGUUUUGUUUUAUGAAAGUGUUUGACAAAGGAAAGAAAGGAACUUGUUUUCGGAGUACCGGGAAGGUACUGGAAAGUUGUGAUGACCAUUUGGAGAUGGUCGGAAAGGAAAUAAACUCGGUUACUCCCAUCCUAGUGUUUUAUGUUGGAGAACUCUUUUGAAGUAUCUUCUUCAACAAAGAUAUAGAGAUGUCAUAGGAUCUUCUUAGUGUCCCCUUCAACUGUGAUGUUGGGAUGCUACAUCCACAAGAGAAACUAUUUCUCUUUCUCAUGCUACAUCCACAAGAGAAACUAUUUCUCUUUCUCAUGCUAUAUCCACAAGAGAAACUAACUCUCUUCUACAUGCUAUUUCCACAAGAGAAAUUAGCUCUUCCCUCUUGUCAUCUAGAUUAGCACUUGUUAUCUUGCACUCUUGCAAAGUACCUUCUUGAUGGUUUGCGAGUACAAUUCCAAAUGUACUCACGGCUUUGUCCCUGGCUAUUUACUUGGCCAGACUUGGAGGAAUUCGACAAAUGAAGAAGGAUUGGACGACGUCUAUGCGAGCUAGGAACGUUCUCCCAGUCAGUUGCCUGUAGGGUUAAGGCAGAUGACUCGGG